rnacentral:lncRNA from 1 species
UUAUUUUAUGCUCUAUGGCAUAUUGCCCCAAGCGUAACAUGUUCACAGUAUGAAAUAGAACACUUGGAUAAUGCCACGUAAGCACAAAAAUACACAUUGUUGAAAAUACUACCUUUGAAUUAAAUUCAAAUUCUUGCCCUACAAACAUCAAGAAAAAAAUGCUCAAAGUCUUUUUCGAUAAAGGAAAAAAGAAAUAUGCAUGUCUAAAAUAAUUGUAGACUAUCAAUCAAUAUAGACGUGAAUCAUAUUAAAUUACAUUUUUA